AUGUGGAUGGAAUUCAGUUGAUCAUAUUCUUCAGCUUAUGGCAUACCAUGCAUAAUGCCUCUAAUAUUAUUCUCCCUUUGUUCCCCACAUACCUUAGCCAUUACGUCUCAGAAGUAAUAUGUUUGUAUUUUGCUAUACAUCUUGUAUUUUUCUUAUGUUUUUUCCUACUAAAUAUUAUAUCAUUUAGACCUAAUCUUGUAUCUCUAAAUAAUUCUUAUUUCUGAAUAGUUGGUAUUCCAACAUAUGUAUAGUCCACAUUUUACUUACUCCUCAUUGGUGAGCAGCUAGGCUGCUUCUAAAUCCUUGCUAUCAUGAAAAAAAAAAAAACUACUGGAAUGAAGGUAAUGUUUUGUGUACUUUAAGCUUUCUCUGGGUUCUCUACCUAUUUAUGAGAUUGUGGAUCCAUAGGAUACAUUCUGCCUCUUUGCUUUCUAACAUGGCUGCUCAAGGUUCACAUUCUCAUCUAUUUUCAGUGCAUGAGGAUUCUUGUUUUUUGCCCUACACUUGCCGGCACUUUUUAUUAUCUAGUGUUCUAAUAUUUGCCAAUGAGAUGGGGGUAAAGCCUAUCACUUUUUAAUUUAUGACUUAUGCUUUCAGAAUCUUAUAUUACAAAUCCUUCUGUAGUGUGAGAUUAUAAAAUUACUUUGUAUUUUCUUCUCUUAUUUUUAUAGUUUUGAUUUUUUAUAUUUUUAUGUUUAGAUUUUUUCAUUCAAUCUGGAGUUUAUAUGAAGUAAAGAUUUGUUUUUUUCUGUAUUUAAUGAGUUUUCUUGACACUAUUUACAAAAUAACCAAUUUAUAAAAUAACAUAAAUUUUGGAUACUAACUUCAGAUGCUAACAUGUUUCCAUGUUUCUGGAUUCUUUAUUGUAUACUAUUGAGAUAUUUGCUAGUGAACUAGUAGCACAGAGUUUAAUUACAGUGGUUUUAUUGUAGACAUUAUAUCUGGCAGAGUGAGCAUUACUUCUUUCUUCCUUCUAACAUCUUUUUUUUCUCAAAUUUUUUUCCUGGUUAGCUAUAGAUGGACCUUUAUUCUUACAUAUAAAUUUUAUAAUCAGUUUUGUAAGUUUGUUUCCAAAAUCCUACAAGCUGUUAGAUGAGAAUUUUCUUUGAAUUUAUAGUUUAAAGGCAUUGAAUGUAGUCUGUAUGUCUAUUCAGGACUUCUUUUAAUAUUUUCAUAAAAUUUAAAAUUGUCAUUUUAAAGUCAGGUAUUCUUUAUAAAGCUAAUCCUAGAGGCUUUAUAAUUUUAAUUUCUUUUUAAAUGAUAUCUUAUUUUCUGUAACAUUCUCUGAUUACUCCUUGCUGGUAUAGAAUCAUACUAUUUUAGUAUAUGUGGUGCUGAAGUGAGCUCUAGAAUAAUACUGUUGAUUUUGGGGUGUUCUCAUGACUGAGUACUUGCCAAACUCUUCUUAAUUCUAAUAGUUUGCCUAUUGAUUCUUUUAUUUAUUCUGUGUAUCAUAUCCUCUGAAAAUAAUGACAGUAUUGUCCCUUCCUUUCAAAUAUCUAUUUCUUUAUUGUUGUCUUAAUGCAUGUCCAGUGCUAUUUUGAGCAGUGAAAGUGAUAGGCAAUACCCUUUUUUUGUGUGACCUACCCCAAAGAAAAUGCUUUUAAAAUUUCCUUUGUAUGUCUUUUUGUUUGUAAAUUGAAUCAUUGCAAAUUGUAUUUUCUUACCAGGCAGUUAAAUUAGAGGUCAGUAACAGAAGGAAGUACACAAAUCCCCAGAUGUGUGAAAAUUAAGCAGCACCUUCUGAACAACUUAUGGGUCAAAGCAGAAAUCACAUGGAAAUCAAAAAACACUUAAACUGAGUGAAAAUGAAAACACAACAUAGAAAAAUUGUGGAAUGCCACUAAAAUAGAUUGGGAAGAGAUACAGCGACAGAUGCUUAUAUUUAAAAAGAAGAAAGAUCUAAAAUCCAUUUAUCUAGAUUUUUACUUUAAAAAACUGGAGGUAAAACAAAUUAAAUCCAAAGCAAGUAAAAGAAAGGAAAAGAGAGCAAAAAUCACUGAAGUAGUAAUGCAGAAACAGAGAAAAUUAGUCCAAAAUCUGGUUCUUUGCAAAGAUCUGUAAUGGAUACAUUAAUGGGUACAUUUAAAUGUCAGGCGCUCAGCUGAGCUGGGAGAGAGAGAACUGAGCUGGGGUGGCUGAUUAAAGCAGCAAGCCAAAAAUGAAAGAGUUAAGCCUUUCAUUACUCACCAUAAUGGUUCAAGCAGAGAAAAUGCCGAUUCUCCCUGUUCCAUCACCCUCAAGGAAUGAAAUGGCAUACUAGUUGAGGAUCGGGUGGAUCAGCACAGAUGUGGGAGUCUGCUAAGGGAGCCUCAAAUAGAAGGCUCUGGCAGUGCUAUGGACUCUGAGGUGGAGAGAAGGUGAAGGGGUAGAGAUAGGAGUGGGAAGGUACGGGGUACUGAGUCAGAGUGAGAAAGUUUGAUUCUUGUGCAAGGCCUCAGAUAAAGAGGCCUAGGAAUAAAGGUACAGGGCUAGGAGUGUAAUAUGUGAAGGAGCAUGACUGGCCAGGGGGCCUGACACUGUGACUGCAAAUCGCUUCAGAGAUGGCAGUGCAGUGACUGUGUGCCAAGUCUGAUGGAGGGAGGAUAGUUUUCACCAUGAGUCCUGCAAAGUGAAAACCUUUGUAUUGCCUGUAGUUAGGCCUGAAAAAUCACACACAGGCUUUUAAUCCUCGCUAGAUUGAUUAUAUAAAGAGAGAGAGAAAGAACAAAUUGAAUGAAGGAGGAAACAUUCUACAGAACCAUAAGAAAAUAUUAUGAAUAACAUUUGCAAAUGAAUUUGAUAAUAUAGAUAAAUGAACAAAUUCAUUGAAAGAUACAAAUUGCUAAAACUGACUCAAGAAGAAAUAGAAAAUUUUGAAUAGCUCUAUAUUAAGAAUUGAUUUAGCUAAUAAGCUUCUAUAAUAUCCUUCUAGAAAAGAUUGACAACUUUAUAACAAACUCUUUUAGAAAACAGAGUUUCUAAAUGCUGUGUGCACACUCCAUACUCAUUUUCUGAGGCCAGUUUUACCCAGAUACCCAAACGAGGCAGCACGAGAAAAGAAAACCACACUUCUAUAUCUCUCUUGAACAUAGAAGCAAAAGACUUAACAAAAUAGCACCAAUGAAAAGGAUAAUACAUCAUGACUAAAGUCCUUCGGUUUAUCCUAGGAAUGUACAGUAGUUCAACAACAAUAAAAAAAUCAGUAAACUUAAUUUACCAUAUUAAUAGAAUUAGAUUUUUUAAAAGCUUAUGGUCACCUCAGUAGUCAUUUGACAAAAUUUAACACCCUUUCAUGGUAAAAAUCACUUAACGCAACAAAGGAAUAGAAUGGAAAUUCUGAUAAAGGGCACCUAUGAAAAACCCACAGCUAAUACCAAACUUAAGAAUAAAGAGAGAAAGCUUGCCCCUUAAGAUCAGGGACAAGACAAGGAUGUCUGGCCUUGUCACAUCUUUUAAGGUUGACGUUAUAUGAGGUUCUAGAAAGAGCAUUUAGGCAAGAAAAAGAAAUGAGUCAUCUAGAUUGGAAAGGAAGAGGGAAAACAGUUUCUUUCUUUCCAUGAUCUGUUUGUGGAAAAUUGCGAAGGAUCUCCAAAGAACUAUUAGAGCUAAUACGCGUGUUCACCAAGGUUGAAGGAUAC
rnacentral:lncRNA from 1 species